UCCGAGUUGACCCCGGCAGUCUUCUACGAGUCCCCGGCAUAAUCCGCUGGCAACAUAGAAUAAGGGUUGCGCUCGUUGCGGGACUUAACCCAACAUCUCACGACACGAGCUGACGACAGCCAUGCAGCACCUGUGUUACGGCUCUCUUUCGAGCACACCCACCUCUCAGCAGGCUUCCGUACAUGUCAAGGGUAGGUAAGGUUAUUCGCGUUGCAUCGAAUUAAUCCACAUCAUCCACCGCUUGUGCGGGUCCCCGUCAAUUCCUUUGAGUUUUAAUCUUGCGACCGUACUCCCCAGGCGGUCAACUUCACGCGUUAGCUGCGGUACUAGGAAAUCGCUUCCCCAACACCUAGUUGACAUCGUUUAGGGCGUGGACUAC
rnacentral:misc_RNA from 1 species